rnacentral:rRNA from 1 species
AAACCUGGGGCGUGCCUACCAUGCAAGUCGAGCGGAGAUACGGAGUAGUUUACUACAAAGUAUCUUAGCGGCGGACGGGUGAGUAACGCGUGGGCAACCUGCCUUACAGAGGGGAAUAACAGUGCGAAAGCACCGCUAAUACCGCAUGAAAUUACGAUAUCGCAUGGUAUUGUAAUCAAAGGAGAAAUCCGCUGUAAGAUGGGCCCGCGUCUGAUUAGCUAGUUGGUGAGGUAAAAGCUCACCAAGGCGACGAUCAGUAGCCGAUCUGAGAGGAUGAACGGCCACACUGGAACUGAGACACGGUCCAGACUCCUACGGGAGGCAGCAGUGGGGAAUAUUGCACAAUGGGGGAAACCCUGAUGCAGCAACGCCGCGUGGAGGAUGAAGGUUUUCGGAUUGCAAACUCCUUUGAUCGGGGAUGAAAAAAAUGACAGUACCCGAAAAACAAGCCACGGCUAACUCCGUGCCAGCAGCCGCGGUAAU